GACGGGGGGCAAGUGUUCGUUCGGAAUGACUGGGCGUAAAGGGCACGGUAGGCGGACUCUUAAGUCGGUGGUGAAAUCCUGGAGCCUCAACUCCAGAACUGCCUUCGAUACUGAGAGUCUCGAGUCCGGGAGAGGUGAGUGGAACUGGCGAGUGUAGAGGUGAAAUUCGUAGAUAUUCGCAAGAACACCAGUGGCGAAGGCGGCUCACUGGCCCGGUACUGACGCUGAGGUGCGAAAGCGUGG
rnacentral:rRNA from 1 species